CUUCUGCUCUUCCAGAUCGGGCUGUCCCCACUGCAGUUCUUUGAGGACAGUGACCCCGCCUCAGGCUCCUGCACGCCCUCCCUGCCCUCCCGCAGUGGCUCUCCUGCACUCUGUGACAUUGAGGUGGGACCCAAGGGACCUGUGUCCUGGCUGAUGGCUGCUGCCAACAGUAUAGAGAUCAUACAGAGCCAGCGCCAGGAGGAACAGACGAAGCUGUGCCAGGCAUUUUAACAGCCCAGGAGCCUCUGAGCUCUCCCACACAGCACUUCCACCCAGGCCACGUCCAGCCCCUCGAGCCUCAGCACUGCUCAGCAUGGACCUUGCACACGCAGCUCCUGUGUCUCCAUGCCUGGCUCACAGCAUGACCCUCCCGGGGACUUGUCUCUGCUCACCGAGGCUGGCUCAGAGCUUUUAUCAACCACAGUGGCAGCUCCUUGUAACCUGACCACAAACCUGUGUCUUUGCCUGCUCAGCUACCUCCAGGGAUUUCUCAGGACAUUGCACUGAAGCCCUUGCCCAGCUCCAGGCUCUGGGAGUUCCCAGGAGAGCUGAGGCACUGCCCUCUGCACCGUGACUCAGGGGACUCGAGGGUUGGCUCAGAUCUGCACAUGCAUGGACAUCUCUCCUGUGCUUCUCCUCUCAUCCUCUCCCUGAAGCUGUGGGCAGUGAGUGUCCACCACCCACCACCCUGUUCCUGCACCACCCUUUUGGGGUGUGAUUAAAGGACAAAUCCACA